rnacentral:rRNA from 1 species
CCUACGGGCGGCAGCAGUGGGGAAUAUUGCACAAUGGGGGAAACCCUGAUGCAGCGACGCCGCGUGAGUGAAGAAGUUUUUCGGUAUGUAAAGCCCUAUCAGCAGGGAAGCAAAUGACAGUACCUGACCAACAAGCCCCGGCUAACUACGUGCCAGCAGCCGCGGUAACACGUAGGGGGCCAGCGUUAUCCGGAGUGACUGGGUGUAAAGGGAGCGUAGGCGGUUAAGUAAGUCAGGAGUGAAAGCCCGGGGCCCAACCCCAGGAAGGCGUUGGAAACUGUGUGACUAGAGUACAGGAGGGGCAGGCGGAAUUCGUGGUGUAGCGGUGAAAUGCGUAGAUAUCAGGAGGAACACCGACUGUGAAGGC